AUUGCGUCCACAUCCUGCAUGUGAACUCCCAAAGGCACCUGGUGGGCCACUGCGAGUAACAGAAUGGUGGACGAGAUUGACUCUGAUCUGAUUCAGUAAGGCUCUUUCUUAUGCAUAGGGUUGUAUA